CUCAGCAAAUGAACUCACCUCCUAAUUCGUUACAAUCGUUCUUACAAACUUAUCUAUAUUAAUGACUUGUUUUGAGGUAGGGUCUCCCUUUGUUGCCCAGGCUGGAGUGCAGUGGCACAAUCAAAGGUCACUGCUGGUCUUGAACUCCUGGACUCAAGUGAUCUUUCUGCCUCAGCCUCUCAGAGUUCUGGGAUUACAGGUGUGAGGCACCACACCCAGCCCAGAGUCUUGUAAUAGCAGAAUUGUUCAAGCAGAAGAAAGAAUUAGUGAGCCUGAGACCAGCUAUUUGAAAAUACACAG